GUGAGGAGCCUCUAACUGCGUGGUUCCGCUCGCGGGUCAACUGGCGGUCAGAUCCUCUUGACGAUCUUCUCCAGCAAUACCUCCGUCGUCAUUCUCUCAGGUAUUUUUAACUUCUAAAAAUGAGCCACAUUUAAACUACUCAAAAUUCCACCUGGAAUUCAAGACCUCACAGGAAAAUGAAACAUGAAGUGCCAACAUUUUGCUUUACAAAGCUUUUAUGAAAGUCCCUGGUUUUGAAUCUGCAAAGAAAUCAUAGUAGAAAGUUAUACUUCUAAGGAUCUCCAAUACCUGACAUCCUGCAUAUCCAAAUUUCCAACUUCCAUACAGAUCUGAAGCUGCAGACAUGGGAUAUCCAAUGCUACUGACUCCUAUGUCAGUAACAGCCAGAUAAGAAAAUGGAAGAACACAAAGCUGAGGGAAUUUGCUCACUGUUGCAUAGAUACUAAAGGAUGAAAUCCAAAGUGCAAGAGUUUUCCAAUACAGCAUUCUGGGAAUGAGCAGAAUUUCCACCUUGUCUUCAACAACAAUACAGUCUGCUCUCUUUUUUUACAACUUUCAUUUUCUUUCCAGGACCUUAAUUAGAUUUCCAGGAUCUUAAUUAGAUUCCACCACCAAAAACAAGACGACACAGAGGAUGUAGGAGAAUAGUAAAUGACCUAAAAAUACUUUUUUGCCAUGGUACACACUCUUCCCCAAUAAAGCCUUAAUUUGACAAUGUAAUAACCAAAUAUAUGGAUGAUUAUUAAAAAAUUAUUCAUUUUAUAGAAAACUUUUCUCAACCGCACUUCACCACUGUCACAUUAUUUAUCAGGAUUCAAAAUAACUUAUGGCAUUAACCACCCUUCACAAUGCCUUCAUUUAUCCUUCCAUCCAUGUUCUCUCACUCUACAAGCCAGGAACGGGGCAAGUAGUAUCAUCCCUAUUGCCCACAUGAGCACCCCAACUCAGAAAAGAUAAGGGACUUGAAACAUCUCUGAUCCCAUACUUUUUUCUACUGACUUAUGCUGAAAAACUGUUUUUCUUCACCCAUUUGAAAGAAAAAUAACAGUUAAUGGAGUAAACAUCCAUACCUGCUGUGAUCAAGUAAGCUGCAACAAUAUUGUGUUCAGUCUGUGAAAAGACUG